GAGAGAGAGAGUUAUUCACUAAAGUAAAACUUCAAAAUUAAUUUAACAUUUAAGGUGAAAAUAGUUGAACUAGAAUAAUUAUUUUAAGCAGCCAUGCUUUCACUUCAACUCAGCUACUUUGGUCUUAAAUUUGAAAUUCACUUCAUUUCAAGUGGACAAAGAGGGACGCUUUAAUUGUAGGGGUGUGUAGCCAGGACAAGGGAUGUUCUGAAAAUUUUAG